UGAGAAAAGCAUCUGCUUAAUCGAGGAAAAACUCUUCAAACAGGGAAAUGAGUUGAACAAAGAGAAAAAGUGCUCCUCCACGCAGACUGAGAACGAGCAGGAAGCUGACAAAGACCCAAACCCCACAGCAAAGAGAACUGGAUCAGA